GCUAAACGCGAAGAACCUUACCCACACUUGACAUACCUCUUGGGGCUUUCAGAGAUGAUCGCUUUCGGUUCGGCCGGGGAGGAUACAGGUGCUGCAUGGCUGUCGUCAGCUCAUGUCGUGAGAUGUUGGGUUAAGUCCCGCAACGAGCGCAACCCUUGUCUUUAGUUGCCAGCGAGUCAUGUCGGGCACUCUAAGGAGACUGCCUCGGAUAACGAGGAGGAAGGUGGGGAUGACGUCAAGUCAGCAUGGCCUUUAUGUCCAGGGCUACACACGUGCUACAAUGGGCGGCACAGAAGGACGCGAGACCGCGAGGUCAAGCCAACCCUUAAAACCGUUCUCAGUUCGGAUUGCAGGCUGCAAUUCGCCUGCAUGAAGUCGGAAUCGCUAGUAAUCGCGGAUCAGCUACGCCGCGGUGAAUACGUUCUCGGGUCUUGUACACACCG
rnacentral:rRNA from 1 species